rnacentral:misc_RNA from 1 species
CAACCCUCAAGCACUGCUUGGUGUUGGGGCACCGCGGCAACGCGCGCCCUGAAAAUUAGUGGCGGGCUCGCUGUAACUUCCGAGCGUAGUAGUUUUCUCCUCGCCCUGGACGUGUAGCGUGUUCCGGCCGUUAAACCCCCCAAUUUUUAGAAGG